GGGGAUAUAGCUCAGUUGGUAGAGUGCUUGCCUCAAAUGCACAAGGCCCUGGGUUCAAUCCCCAGUACCACCA
rnacentral:tRNA from 1 species